AGCUUGUUCAUUUUUAACUGAGGCUUCUUUAUACACACCAGGUGUGGUCUUCACUUUUAUCAUCUCGUUAUUGUGAAGUCUGUGAUCUGCUCCAGGGAUUAAUUAGAGCUGGGGCCCAUCUUUAGCUGGACUUGCCAAGCCCUCUUCCCUUAUAAUUAAAAGUUCCAGUAGCUGCAAGUAGGCAUCUAGGAGAACAAGUUUUGCACACUUUUCUGAGAUACUCACGUGAUCUCCAGGCCACUUUGCCAUAUCUGAAGAUAUACCUGGCUUGAAAU